GACGAACGCUGGCGGCGUGCUUAACACAUGCAAGUCGAACGGAAAGGCCCUGCUUGCAGGGUACUCGAGUGGCGAACGGGUGAGUAACACGUGGGUUAUCUGCCCUGCACUUCGAGAUAAGCCUGGGAAACUGGGUCUAAUACCGGAUAGGAGCCAUUUUUAGUGUGAUGGUUGGAAAGUUUUUUCGGUGUAGGAUGAGCUCGCGGCCUAUCAGCUUGUUGGUGGGGUAAUGGCCUACCAAGGCGGCGACGGGUAGCCGGCCUGAGAGGGUGGACAGCCACAUUGGGACUGAGAUACGGCCCAGACUCCUACGGGAGGCAGCAGUGGGGAAUAUUGCACAAUGGGCGCAAGCCUGAUGCAGCGGCGCCGCGUGGGGGAUGACGGCCUUCGGGUUGUAAACUCCUUUCGCUAGGGACGAAGCUUUUUGUGACGGUACCUAGAUAAGAAGCACCGGCUAACUACGUG
rnacentral:rRNA from 1 species